rnacentral:rRNA from 1 species
ACUGGAACUGAGACACGGUCCAGACUCCUACGGGAGGCAGCAGUAAGGAAUCUUCCACAAUGGGGGCAACCCUGAUGGAGCAACGCCGCGUGAAGGAUGAAGGCCCUCGGGUCGUAAACUUCUUUUAUAAGUGAGGAAUAUGACGGUAACUUAUGAAUAAGGAUCGGCUAACUACGUGCCAGCAGCCGCGGUCAUACGUAGGAUCCGAGCGUUAUCCGGAGUGACUGGGCGUAAAGAGUUGCGUAGGCGGUUAGUUAAGCGAAUAGUGAAACCUGGUGGCUCAACCAUACAGACUAUUAUUCGAACUGGCUAACUCGAGAGUAGCAGAGGUACCUGGAAUUUCUGAAGUAGGGGUAAUAUCCGUAGAUAUCAGAAGGAACACCAAUGGCGUAGGCAGGGUACUGGGCUAUUUCUGACGCUAAGGCACGAAAGCGUGGGGAGCGAACCGGAUUAGAUACCCGGGUAGUCCACGCCGUAAACGAUGGAUACUAGCUGUAGGAGGUAUCGACCCCUUCUGUAGCGAAGCUAACGCGUUAAGUAUCCCGCCUGUGGAGUACGGUCGCAAGACUAAAACAUAAAGGAAUUGACGGGGACCCGCACAAGCGGUGGAUCAUGUUCUUUAAUUCGAUGCUAAACGAAGAACCUUACCAGGGUUUGACAUCCUUGGAAUUUUGCCGAAAGGCAAGAGUGCUUUAUUGAACCAAGUGACAGAUGAUGCAUGGCCGUCGUCAGCUCGUGUCGUGAGAUGUUUGGUUAAGUCCAUCAACGAGCGCAACCCUUGUGAAUAGUUGUAUUUUUCUAUUCAGACUGCCCCGGUAACGGGGA